AUUAUGUUAACAUCUCUUUCGAGAGUAAGAACAACUGACUCUAGGUUGAUUAAUUGAAAUCUCUUUCUAAUUAAAAUCUCUAUCAUCGUAUUAACUCGAUCUAUGGACUCCCUUAUUAGAUUUGACUUUAAUCCGAUAGAUUUAUGUCGUCCUAUUUCUAGAAUUGCAUGCAACUCCAAUCAAUUAUGCUAGAUCUACUCUUAAACAGAGACUUUUGCUCCACUGAAUUAAGCAUAUUAAACAUGAAUUAAUAUCCUAAAAUAUUAAAACAAGAAUAAUAAAAGGAUUCAUCAUAGGUUUCAUCCUCCCUAGGUAUCUAGGGAAUUAGUUCAUACCCUUGAAUGAAAACAUCUCAAAGUCAGAAAAAGCACAAGACAUAAAGAAACUCAAUAAAACUUCGAAAGAAGUUAAAAGGAGAUUUUUAAUCUUGAUGGAGAUCCGGUUCCGAGUUGGUUUUGAUGGUGUUCUUUGAGUGCUUUUUUCGAUCUUCUCUGAUGGCUCUCUAUGUCUUCUUCUAAUUGGCAUUUAUAGACUUUAGAAUGCUCAGAAAGCCAAAAAUUGGGCUUCUCCACGUAUUUGGGAAGCAGGGUGCGAAAUCGACAAGGGCUAGCACAUGGGCAUGUGUCCAGCUUGUGUGGAAAUGCCCAGGCCGUGUGGCUCUUGAAAACGGCUUUAUUUUUCCAAUUUUGGCUCGGUUUUUGUUCCUUUCACUCCCAAAUGCUCUCCUAAGUAUAAAAAUAUGAAUUUAAAGGAUUAGAAGCAUCAAAUCCACUAAUUUGCAUAAUUAAUCAUCCAAAAACGCAUUAAGAAUGAAAUUAAAAUAUGUUACUUUUAUAUCUUAUCAAAAAUGUUAUCAAUUUGUAUCGAUACUUAUCAAAGUAUCGAUACCAAUUUGGCAUUCUGUUUAUUUUGAAAAAAAUUUAUUUGAGCAAGUAUCAUUACCUAAUGUCAUAGUAUCGAUACUUUUCGCUAAACUUAGUAAAAAUCACUUUUUAAAAACUUUUAUUCCAUGCUCAAACAUAAUGUCGAAUGACCAAUAGUCCGUUCAGUUUUAAAAACACAUUUUUAUGGAAAACAUUAGUUUGUUUUAGUAAUUCAUUUAUUCAAUCUCAAUUCCAAAUUUGUUAUAAAAAAUUAUAAGUAAUGGAGUCCAUACCACAUUCCAUUUAACAAAUCCAAAAUCCAAAUAGAGUUUAUGAAAUAGUUUAGAAAUAAGUUUUAAGUAAAAUCCGACGACAGUGCUCCGAGUGUCGAGUCCGAGCCCUAACCUCAUAAAUUAUCUGAAAAGAUGGGAAAAUUAAUGAGUGAGCUAUGAAGCUCAGUAUGGUCAUAACACAUAAGCAGUGAGUAUAUAAAGUAGUAAAUAACAUAAUACAAGGUUGCAAUAUGCAAUACAUAUUAGUAUCACGAUAUUCACAGAAAAACGAUAACUACUAGCAUGCUUAUAAAUAUUAGUGUAGUACACUACCCAAUCCAGCCCUACACACCACAGUAAGAGUUCCUCAGAACUCGUCCAACCCUACAAUCCAAAACAGUAUUUUGAGGAUGAGUUGCUAGUAAAUCAGUAGGAGCCUUAGCUUAUGUGGAUGAACCACCAAUAGAUGAUCGAUGAACCGAUUCGACAUGUAAUGCUUGAACUUCCUCCUUCAACAACCCAAACCCCAAUGCAUUAGUAUGACAUGCUAUCGAUGUCAGAAAGCAGUAACAGUUUUAACAUGCUAUUAUCAUGCAAACAGUAACAGUUUGUUGGUUAAGUAGUAACAGUAAUCAUGCAUCAGUUAUAUAUGCGGGAUUAACACUGAAUCAACAUUAUACACAUAUUCAACAUUAACGAUUCAAAAAAAUGGAAGCAUACUACAACUAGAUCUACCAUACACAGUCUCGUUUACCACUGAGUCGAUUCGUUGGUUUCUCAAUACCACAUCAAAGAAUAUUUUUCAACCAGAUCUAAAGUUACCUAUUACAAUCGAAACCAUUAGAAUGAAAUAACUAACAUUAACUAAUAAAAUCAGCAAGAAAAACACAAAAAUAGGCACUCAUACAUAACACACACAAAAGCACAUGGUUAGACACACACCUUCACCCACACGCUUGUGCGACACUUCACUCCUCCGGUGGACUCAUACGAUUCAGAUAUGCUCUGAACCCGUCAUCAUUCGGUCCUUCAAAUGGUAUACACACAAAUAACAACACAUUAGCAAUCGACAUAAAUUAGAUUCAGGAAUCGAAGAAACCUGAUUAAUCAAUAUGGAAGUGAAAUAAAUCAUACACACGAUUUAUUUAUUCGAAAACCAAAUCUUACCCAUGGAUCGGAAUGUUUACACUUACUAAUCUACCGUUAGGGUCAUAAUCGUGCAAAAUAGAAUAGAGAGGCAAAUAUACAAAGCUAUUAGUGCAAAUGAACCGAACGAUUGAUAAUGAUUCGGGGGAAAAAAAGAAUCGGCAACCCAAGAGGGGUGCAAGAAACGGAAACUAAGAAGAAAAGCAAGGAAGAAUAAGAACAAGAGAAAAGAGAAAAGAAGGGUGAAGUGAGGAGAAAAUGGCCAAGGGAAAAAGUGAAGAGAGGAAAACAAGUUUAAGGGUGGCAGCAAAAACAAAAGAAUGAGAAGAGGGGGCCGACCAAAUAAAAUUACACUUAAAUACCUAGGGUUUUGGCACACUAGGGUUUUCUACACUACAAAAUGCGAAGGUAUCUAUACU
rnacentral:lncRNA from 1 species